rnacentral:rRNA from 1 species
GAUGAACGCUGGCGGCGUGCCUAAUACAUGCAAGUAGAACGCUGAAGCUUGGUGCUUGCACCGAGCGGAUGAGUUGCGAACGGGUGAGUAACGCGUAGGUAACCUGCCUCUUAGCGGGGGAUAACUAUUGGAAACGAUAGCUAAUACCGCAUAAAAGUCGAUAUCGCAUGAUAUUGAUUUGAAAGGUGCAAAUGCAUCACUAAGAGAUGGACCUGCGUUGUAUUAGCUAGUUGGUGAGGUAACGGCUCACCAAGGCGACGAUACAUAGCCGACCUGAGAGGGUGAUCGGCCACACUGGGACUGAGACACGGCCCAGACUCCUACGGGAGGCAGCAGUAGGGAAUCUUCGGCAAUGGGGGCAACCCUGACCGAGCAACGCCGCGUGAGUGAAGAAGGUUUUCGGAUCGUAAAGCUCUGUUGUAAGAGAAGAACGAGUGUGAGAGUGGAAAGUUCACACUGUGACGGUAACUUACCAGAAGGGACGGCUAACUACGUG